AGGAUGAACGCUGGCGGAGUGCCUAACACAUGCAAGUCGAGCGGCAGCGGAAGUAGUUUACUACUUGCCGGCGAGCGGCGGACGGCUGAGUAACGCGUGGGAACGUGCCCCAAAGUGAGGAAUAACUGCCCGAAAGGGUAGCUAAUGCCGCAUAUGAUCUUCGGAUUAAAGGAUUUAUCCGCUUUGGGAGCGGCCCGCGUUAGAUUAGGUAGUUGGUGAGGUAAAGGCUCACCAAGCCGACGAUCUAUAGCUGGUCUGAGAGGAUGACCAGCCAGACUGGAACUGAGACACGGUCCAGACUCCUACGGGAGGCAGCAGUGAGGAAUCUUCCACAAUGGGGGAAACCCUGAUGGAGCAACUCCGCGUGCAGGAUGAAGGCCUUCGGGUCGUAAACUGCUUUUAUUUGUGAAGAAUACGACGGUAACAAAUGAAUAAGGGUCGCUAACUACGUGCCAGCAGCCGC
rnacentral:rRNA from 1 species